rnacentral:rRNA from 1 species
AUUGAACGCUGGCGGGAGGCCUAACACAUGCAAGUCGAACGGAGUGGCGGACGGGUGAGUAAUAUCUCGGAAAGUGCCCGGUAGCGGGGGAUAACUACCGGAAACGGGCGCUAAUACCGCAUACUAUCAGAUCGGCCCAGGUCGGAUUAGCUAGUUGGUGGGGUAAAGGCCUACCAAGGCGACGAUCCGUAGCUGGGUUGAGAGGAGGAUCAGGCACACUGGGACUGAGACACGGUCCAGACUCCUACGGGAGGCAGCAGUGGGGAAUAUUGGACAAUGGGGGAAAGCCUGAUCCAGCCAUUCCGCGUGUAUGAAGAAGGCCUUCGGAUUGUAAAGUACUUUAGGGAGGGAGGCGGUAUCAACAGAAUAAGCACCGGCUAACUUCGUGCCAGCAGCCGCGGUAAUAC